ACCAAAGAUUUUAAGUGUGUCACACAGUUCUUUUGGACUUCUGUCUUCAGGGUUGUCAACGUGAAAGUUGAAGUCUCACCCAAUAAAUAGUAGUUAUUAACACAUAUCAAGAAUAAAACACACUGUCACAAUUACACGGAUGACACACAAUUGCAUAUCCGUUUUACAUUCCAGUAAAAUCUAUUUUUCAUUCCAAUGAACAGAUGAAUACCUGUAUGUGUCAAGAUUUUCUUCAGCUAAUUAAAGACGAGCUGAAGUUUUAAUUUUUGGGCCAAAAGGGUCAGUACCCACCUUCACCCCAUUGGUUUAAAGAGAAAUGUUGCAGUGAUCAUUGAACCUGACCUGAACCAAUCACAAACUGAUCAUUAAAGGUAUAGUGGAUGAUCUACUUUGACUUCAAAUUCCCAGAAGAAUUAGAAUUUUGAGCCAAUCUAUCUUUGAUAGGACACCUUAUGAUCUAUCCAAGAUGGUGGCACAGAAACCUGCAGCAACUACAGGCACAAGGCUUUUUAUGUUGUUCUUUGUGUUUUUGUUUGUCAUAUCGCCAAUGCAAGCUCUAAUUAUACAAAAGAGAAGAGCAGCUUGAUCUGGGGCCACACUCCAAAGCCUGUGGAUUAUACCGAUGGUCGAAACCAGACUUUAUUUCUCCUGAAACACGACAGACAGCAGGGCCUCUGUUCCCACCGCCUCUUAGGCCUGGGUCACAGAGGAAACACAGAAGAAGACGCGGCGGCCUCCGUACCAGGCUAAAGGCUAAUCCACACAGGCCAACCCUGCCCAGUCUCCUCAUGGCAAAUGUUAAAUCCCUAAAAUAGACAAGAUCCAGCUCAGGAUUGCCUCACAUAAGGACAGCUGUGUCGUGAUCUUCACAGACACCUGACGCCAGAGUCAAGCUAGCAGGCUGCUCUUUGUUUGGAGCAGACUGAAACAAAUCUGUAGAGAGAAGCAAAGGUGGAGGCUUAAUAAUGUACAUUCACAACAGCUGGUGCAUAGCUGCAAAAGCUACCAGAAGCCUCUGCUCCACCAAUCUGGAAUACCUAGACUUUAAGUGCAGAUCUUUAAACUGGUUUAAGAGUUCAGCUCUGUGAUAAGCUGUGCUGCUUUAUCGGUAGCCUUAUGAACAGCAAUCAGGAAGCAAAGGAUCAAAGAUUCUUUAUUGUCACCACAUGUUGCCCUGGGGAAAUUUUCUUUUGGACGCUCUGGCUAGGAGUACAAACAAAAUACAACAGGCAGUGAAAACUGAAAAGUUCACAGUUUUUUUCACAUUGUCACUUACAAAGAAACCAUGGGUGGACGUCUCGAUGCGGUCCCUGCGGAAGCGUUCAGAUCAGGAGACAGAAAUCUUCAACCUCUCCCUGCAGCUCUCCACAGUUCCUACCUAUCUGAAAUCCUCCGUUAUAACCAAUGGUUAUCAGUUUAUUUUACUGUAUAUGUGUAUUGAUUUUCUCUCUCUUAUUGUUACAGAAGGCCUGCAGAAAGCAGAAAAACAUGUUGUGAUGAGGAUAAGUGUUUUUCAAGUUAUGUUUGAGACUGUGAUGAACUGCACCCAGUCAUCUGGUGUGCUUACGCAUAACUGAACUGUGUGAACUGCUUUGUAUUAUCUCGAAUGUCACAUUGCUGUUAAUUCAAUUCAAUUUUAUUUAUAUAGCGCUAAUUCAUGAAACAUGUCAUCUCAAGGCACUUUACAAAGUAAUAUUCAAUCAGAUUAUACAGAUAUAAAAUAGCCUCCCCUACUCCUUGGCGUGGCAAUAUAAUAUUGUAAGGUAAAAAAUUAACUGGUUUAUUUUACACACAGGGUGCAGACGCUUACUGUUCUCCGCUCAUUUCUAUUCAACUAUUGACCUGUUCUCAGCCUCCCCUGGUUUUUUUAUUUGAUAAUGUGGUGUGUGUAUUGUAGAUUUCUGUAGUAAUAAAAAGACUCUUCAAAACUGUAA